UGGGGAAUAUUGCGCAAUGGGGGAAACCCUGACGCAGCAACGCCGCGUGAAGGAAGAAGGCCUUCGGGUUGUAAACUUUUGUCUUUAGGGAAGAGUAAGAGACGGUACCUAAGGAGGAAGCCACGGCUAACUACGUGCCAGCAGCCGCGGUAAUACGUAGGUGGCAAGCGUUAUCCGGAUUUACUGGGUGUAAAGGGAGCGUAGGCGGGACUUUAAGUCAGAUGUGAAAUACCAAGGCUCAACCUUGGGGCUGCAUUUGAAACUGGAGUUCUUGAGUGUCGGAGAGGUAAGUGGAAUUCCCAGUGUAGCGGUGAAAUGCGUAGAUAUUGGGAGGAACAUCGGUGGCGAAGGCGACUUACUGGACGAUAACUGACGCUGAGGCUCGAAAGUGUGGGGAGCAAACA
rnacentral:rRNA from 1 species